UGAUUUAGUCCCGACUUGUUUCUAAUGUAUGUUUUAGGCCUCGAGGGCUCAUUUAAGGGACAAUAUGAUUAAUUUAUGAUUGGUUUCGGAUAUAUGAAUGUGAAGUGAUAUGAAAUAUUUGUAUUUGAUCUGUAAAUUUCCAGUAAUGCUCUAUAACUCUGUUUUGGCGAUGAAUAUGAGUUAGGGUGUUACAUUUAUUGGUAUCAGAGCUACGAUUUAGCCGAUUCUCGGACUAACGUAGCGUAUACGAGUCUAGCUAUACAUGACAUUAUAUAACCUGCGAUAGUGUAAUAUCUCCUGACCAUUUUUAAACAUGUUUUUUUUAUAUAGUAAUGUCAUCCAACCGAGCUGAAUCUGAAGAAGCUGAAAGCAAUACUCAAGCUUCAGUUUAAAUAACAACCUCGAGUAGUAGAAGGCUCGUAUCUAAGGGCCGAGGAGGAGAGGCUAAAGAAGCCUUCUUCCAAAUGAUGAAUGAAUGGUUUACAAAAUUUGUAAGAACAAAUCUGGCUGUACAACAACUUCCCCCUCCUGCUUUUCAACCGGUUCCUGACAUGCCACAAGGUACAAAACUUGUCUGAACUGAUACGCCUCCUGUUAAUAAAAUCCAUAAAUAUGUGACAGAAAAUUUAGAGCAACGACUGAAGAUGAUCCUGAAAGGGCUAAAUUUUGGUUAGAAAACACUAUCAGGGUUUUUGAUGGAUUAUCUUGCACACCGGCCGAAUGUCUGAAAUGUGCUGUAUCUCUGUUAAAAGAUUUGGCUUACCAAUGGUGGAAUACAUUGAUUUCUGUUGUACCAAAAGAAAAGGUUACAUGGGAGUUAUAUAAUAUUUGUGCUAAAAAUGAAUUUUUUUUAUAAUUGAGUGACUAUCUGUGUAGUUUAACCAAUUUGUACACACCAGUUCCGGUAGAAAAACAUGUGCCACCGGUGCGGUACUAACUACCUUAACUGGAAUUAGGGCGUACCAGUACUAAUCCAUUUCAGUGUACCAUUUCGAAUUUAUCUAUAUUUUGGAAAAUAUUAAAUAUAUGUAUAUAAAAAUAUUUACAAACAUCAAAAUUUGUACACACCAUUUCAGUGCACAAUGUUUUGGUAAAAGCUUUUUUUAUUUAUUACCAUAAUUGUAAAAAGUUAAAAAUUUUAAUAUUAUUCAUGCACUAGCAAGUGCAUAAUGUUCCUGUUGAUAUGAUCGGAAUUGGGCAGAACAGACCGAUGUGACAAGUACAGGUUGAAAUUUUAAUUGACGCAGAAAAAUGAGUUAGCUGCAUCAAUUUAUUAUUGGAAUGGUAUGCAUCGGCUGAGACAAUCGAAAUCGGUGCGAAAUUGUCUACAUUGAGUAUGCUACCUAUCACAAAAUAAAAUAAUUAUAUUUAAUUUUAAUGAUUUUUAAAAUUAUUCAUUAACUUAUUGUGUUUUAAUAUGGUUCAUUGAUGAUGUACGGACUUAUUCAUAUAUGCUGACAGUGCCCUAAAUGCACAUCCUAAUUAAAAAAAGUUCAUUAGCUGUACUAUUGAUUGGACUUUAAUUUUUAAAUCAGAUAAGUGCAAUGAUUAAAUUCUUAGAAUUAAAAGUAUUGGGAUUAAUUUUCAAAAGUUGGAAGAAUAUAAGGAUUCAACAUAAAUUAAACAAAAAAUUGAGGGCAAUAUGGUAAACCCCGAUGAUUAUUUUCUUUCUAGAAAAGGAAAACCGAAGUCAAUGCUUGAACUGCACAAUAGGAGCAUUUUUCACUUUGGACGCAUUUUAUUUUAUUUCAAAAAAGAACUCGUAAAGUAGGAGAAUAAAAUUAAAAGGUACAAUGGCUACUGUGAUUUCUUCUAGUGCUACAACCGGUGAGGCUGAGGACGGUGGUUAGCUGGAAGAUUGCUCUACUAAAAAAGUGUGAAACAAGGAUCAACGGACAGAGUUGAACAUGUCGAUUACGAAGAAUUUGACUCAAACGCCAAUAUUGACCUAGAAAGACAAAUUAGUAGGAGGUUCAUCGGUAUCGAAAAGGUCGAAUAAGACUCAAGAGAUGGAGUUGGGUCAUGAUUUGGAGUUUGUAGAAGGGGAUACUAAGAAAUCGACCAUUAACAGAAUCCCAUCUAUUGAUUUCUCAGAGAGGGUGAACUAGUUGCUUAUUAAGGACACGACCUAGACAUUCAUUGUCAAGCUCUUAGGCCGAAAUAUUGGUGUAAAAUCUUUUCCAACUCUUCCCUAACCUUUAAUUCAAACUGACUUAAGGUGUUGGACCCUGAUUUAUCCAUUCCAUUUUGAAUCUCCGCAAGUUUCUUCAUCAAAAGACUAUAGCGGGUGCCAAUAUUGUCGUAGAUAGAUUUAUUGCACCCCUUAAUAUUCAAAGUAAAGUGUUGGAUAGCCUCUGUCAUAUUACCCUUGAAAACCCAAUUUUCCUUGACAAAAUUUGAAAAGUUAGGAUGUUCAACCUAACCAGCCAGGAAACUGAAAGGGCGUCCCCCAAAUAAGUUGACCUUUAAAUUGAGAGAAAGCAGUGAUAUGUGAUCAGAUUUGAGCCUAGGAAGAUGGGAGAUUGAGCAACUAAGAAAAACUCUAAUCCAAGUUUCUUUUCCGAUCGCUCUAUCUAGCCUCUCAAAUAUUCUUCCUCGAUACCAAGUGAAAUGUGGUCCUUUAAAACCUAAAUCCUGCAAAUUAUUCACAUCGAGAAAGUCUCCAAAAGGAGAACAUCCAAUUCCAUCUCUUUUAACUCCUAUUUUAUCUCUAGAUGAAAGUAAAGCAUUAAAAUCACCGAUAGCAGCCCAAGGAACCCCUUUAGGCGGUAUAACCGUAUUAAAACCCUCCCAAUGUUGUCUCGUUUUUUGUCUGUCAAUACUCUCAUAAACAAAAACAACAGUAACAACCUGGGUUUGACCCCUCUUUAAAAUCCAAACAACAAUAAAUUAGGGGUGGUUACAAAUUACCUCAAUUGAAAUAUUAUCUUUCUAGCCAAGCCAGAUACCUCCUGAAAAACCAAUAGCCUUACUCUAUGCGAAUUCUAAAAACCCAAACUGGAAAUGAUCUUAUCUGCUUUGUAACCACUUACUUUUGCCUAUAUUCUUGAAAAAUACAGGGAAAAUUUUUAUUUGACAUCCAUGGCAAUUCCAAGAAAACACAGAUAAAUCUAUAAAAAAUAAUUAAAAGAAAUAAAAAACCAAUCUUACUGUUUGGGAGCCAAGGCAUCCUUCUCAUGCUUUUUAUUAGCUGCUGAAGAGUCUUUGUCAACCUCUUUGUUAAAUUGAGCACUAAUUAGCUCAAUCAUAAAGCUCAUCGAGUCUGUCAAGGAUACCCGAGCGAUUCCAGUUUGCUUAAAA
rnacentral:lncRNA from 1 species